rnacentral:rRNA from 1 species
GACGAACGCUGGCGGCGUGCUUAACACAUGCAAGUCGAACGGAAAGGCCCUGCUUUUGUGGGGUGCUCGAGUGGCGAACGGGUGAGUAACACGUGAGUAACCUGCCCUUGACUUUGGGAUAACUUCAGGAAACUGGGGCUAAUACCGGAUAGGAGCUCCUGCUGCAUGGGGGGCGUUGGAAAGUUUCGGCGGUUGGGGAUGGACUCGCGGCUUAUCAGCUUGUUGGUGGGGUAGUGGCUUACCAAGGCUUUGACGGGUAGCCGGCCUGAGAGGGUGACCGGCCACAUUGGGACUGAGAUACGGACCAGACUCCUACGGGAGGCAGCAGUGGGGAAUAUUGCACAAUGGGCGGAAGCCUGAUGCAGCAACGCCGCGUGCGGGAUGACGGCCUUCGGGUUGUAAACCGCUUUCGCCUGUGACGAAGCGUGAGUGACGGUAAUGGGUAAAGAAGCACCGGCUAACUACGUG